rnacentral:rRNA from 1 species
UAAUACGGAGGGUGCGAGCGUUGCUCGGAAUUACUGGGCGUAAAGAGUGUGUAGGCGGUUCUAUAAGUCGGGCGUGAAAGCCCCGGGCUCAACCCGGGAUGUGCGUCCGAAACUGCAGAACUAGAAUCUCGGAGAGGGAGGUGGAAUUCCAGGUGUAGCGGUGGAAUGCGUAGAUAUCUGGAAGAACACCGGUGGCGAAGGCGACCUCCUGGACGAUGAUUGACGCUGAGACACGAAAGCGUGGGUAGCAAACAGGAUUAGAUACCCUGGUAGUCCACGCCUUAAACGAUGGGCACUAGGUGUCGCGGGUAUUGACCCCUGCGGUGCCGCAGUUAACGCAUUAAGUGCCCCGCCUGGGGACUACGGCCGCAAGGUUA